ensembl:lncRNA
GUGAGGAUUUGACACACGUCCUGAACCUCAGGGUAUAAAACACUGGAAACUGAAAGUUCGUCGUCAGAGUACGUCGUGGCAAAGGGCAUCAAAGUCUUGUCACUGAGGUACGUUGUUAUGUCGCGUUUGACAAUGUCUGUCACACCGAGCACACAAAAGAGCAUGUAGCUUGGCUAGCAACAACUGUACUGCUGCUAACAUCCUGAUCCGAGGUAGAUUUGGAAGAGCAACCUGUGUUGCUGUCGUCGGCAGGUGCAUCCUCGAUUGUAGGGCUUCAACUAGUAGUAGCGGUUGGUGUCUCUUUGGACCGGGGAUUAACUUUUAUUAACCGUUUAUCCAUUUUCGUACAGAAACCGGAAUGAGCUCCCACUUCUCUACACAGGGCAUCAGAGAGUGGAAUUCUGACGAGGGAGCUAACCGUUGUGCCUAUGUGUUUGACUAACCUACCUGUAGCUAUUUUUGACAGUGUACUUAUUUAGCUAAACACUACAAUGUAUACAUGAGUGUAUUUUUGCCAUUGCGACUGGGCUUUUCAGACUAUUUAAGAUUUCAUGACUAUGUAUAGGUCAGUUUGAAAAUGUAAUGGGCUGUUUCCCCCGCGUACCCCCUACGUCCCUUUGCGUACCCCUGGGGCUACAAGUACCCCAGUUGGGGAAACACUGAUCUAGGGCAAAGGUAAGAAGAGUGCAGUUAGAUUAACAGUGAAGGAGUUUCUUAAAUCCAAGGAUGUCUGUAGAAUUGCUGUGAACGCAAUCACCAAUGAUUUCUCACAAAUUCAGCCCUUAACACUACUACUGGAGUAGCAGGUAAUAGGUUGAGUAUGAAGUAUGAGACCAAAUUGAAGUGACUAUGGCCUUCAGAAGCUGAAAUACAGAUGCGCUUGACGCGUGCUAAAAGGGCGUGGCAAAAUCUUGAUGUUUGCUCGGGUUACACUAAACCACAGCACCCUAGUUUUGUUCCUCGUGGUCAAAUUAGCCAGAAACCGUUGAGAAAUGUCAUGCCGCUCAUACUUCAUACUCAACCUAUGGGCUGCUACUGGAGUAUACUGAGUCCGAGCCCAUUUUUCACUCUCUUAGGUAGUCUGCCAUGCCUUGAUAUUUUUGAAUAUUUUCACCUAACUAAAAACAUUGAGGCAAAAGCGGCAUGUAUGAUUAUAUUCUACAAGACCUCUGCAAUAAUAGCAUGAGAGUGAAAGGAAUGUAGUAAAAAAAAGUUUUAUUUAAAUCAAAUCUAAACAAACCCUUACAAAAACAUACUUUCAGAGGUGCUCAGACUUUGUACAAAAAACACAUUGUAA